GAGGGGAAAGGAGAUCGGGGGUCACGCCACACGCAUCCUUCUCUCCCCUCCUCUCCCCAGAAACGAGAACUGCUUCUCGUCAUCCCCAAUCCGACCGCCGCCGCCGGCGGCCUCCUCCUCCCCUAGCGCUGCCGCUCUAGCCCUUCACCUUCUAUCUCUAUCCCAACUCUUGGAAUCCAAGGGAGGGAAAGCCCCGUAUCGCGCGACAAGGUGAGGGCGCCCAGAUCCGCAGCGGCACCGUCGCGCCCUCGUCCACCUGGUCCUCGUGGUCGGCCAUGGAGGUCUGACCCGACCCAUGGAUGGAUGGGGGCGAAACCCUAGCCCCACACCCACCCAUGGAUGGAUGGGGAUCAGGCGACGACGGCGGCCACCUUCUCUCGGUGCUUGCUGAUGUGGUGGCCCUCGACGCCGGCGACGGGUUGCAGCACGUAGACGCAAAAGGCUGCGGGUGUGAUGGAGGAGCACCAUGGCGGGCGUGCAGGCCAUCUUUCCCUACCAAGUGACCCAAUCCCUUUCUUUCUCGUGGACAGCUAUGAAGAAUUGAAAUUUGUCAAGAACCUGCAAUAGAACCAAAAGAAUGAUGUAACUACUUUGGUGAUUCCUUUUAAGAUGUCAAUGGGACAUGAGACAAAGAUAACUUGUCAUUUGAGAUGCCCCUAAUUCAAUUUUAUAUCGUGCUGAACUUUCUCAAACUAUUAUGUAUAUCAUUUUAGUAAUUGAGCUAAACAAACUGCCAUGGUAGAAUUUGCGGGCGUGGCGUCAUGACCGGGCUCAGAACAAGGUAUGACCCACAUCUCUCUGUAGGCUGUACUUGGGGAAAAAACUGUAGCUCGCGUGGCGAGAUGCUCAUUACCAGUAGUCAUAGCUGCAGUUUUGGUGCGUCAAGUGGUGGAUACAUUGUUGGCUUGAAUUUUCAUGUCCCCUGAAGGUUCUAAGUGAGUGCUGCAUCAAAGGGUGUUGUUGUGAUUUCCUCGAGGUAUUGAUUAGGGGAGUUAGGUUUACAUGAUUUAGCUCGUUCUUGGCUGGAAGAUUACAGCAAAGUAUGAAUGUUGGCCAAUUUUAUAUUCACUUGCGCUUCACAUGUUUAUUUUUCGGAUAAUUGUUGCUCCUUUUUUGUGACUAUUGAUUGUUCCCUUUAUCAGGAAUAUUUAGGAUGACAAUCGUUACAAUGCUGGGAGUGGGGCACAUCUCACGUUCAAGAGGGCCGAGAAAGAUCGGAUUUUGGUUGACAAGAUUCUGGGAAUUGUAGAUGUUUUGACCACAAAAAUCAUAGCUUCGAAAAUGAAAGAGGAAGAGUUCACAUGAUAUGAUGGCGUACUCCUUCUUUCAAUGCUGGAUGAAUACAUGAUCUUUUGGCAGGACAAAGAACAGGAAAGAAAACACAGAGGGAUCAGAAGAAGCUCCAGGAUUAACUCAAAGCUGAGCAGGAAGCUCUCUACGGUUCAAGAAAAAAUCCAUCCAAGACUCAAAAGUAUAAAGAAGUCACCUAGCUAGACACUCAAUUGGUGGUGUAAACCGUAGGGUGUCCAUUGGUGGAGCCACGAUGCAAGCACCCAGAACAGACGUUGCAUUCGAAGAAUGUUCAUGCUGCCAACAGAAUUGAAGACAUUGUCCGUUUGUCCCCUGUUUUGCUCCUCUUGAUGAUUGGAAGUUAGCAUUGCUCCUGUUAGAGCAACAGUAUACCAAAGCAAGAUCCAACCGAGCUAAGGAUGUAAGUUCACUGGAUUGUCUUUGAAUACUGUUUGGCUUAUGCAUUAUUUACUGUGCUUUGACAUGGAUUAGCUUGGCUUUGCAUCUAGGCUCUCUCUUGCUUUCCCAACAACUCCAGAAGAGAUUUCUGGAUCAAGUAUCAGGUCCAGAGUCGAUGGAGAGAAGCAACAUCAUGAUGCUGCUAUAUCUUAGUGGUCUUUCUUUCACAAUGGUGAUCUGCUUCUUAUCUGUUCUAGGUGUCACUGUCAUAGCUUGCUUGGCAUAACCUUCCUUCUUUUGAUGGUUGUCAACACACAUUUAAGUCACACAUACACCAUACAAGAUGCAGAGCCUUUGGUAUAUGCAGCCGCACUCCCUUGCCGCCACCUGCUACUUCAAGUCCGUUGAUGGCCACGUUGGAAACUAGGGCUUCUCCAUAGCCCGCCUCAAUCUCCACCUCGCCCUCCUUGCUGGUUUCCUAUGUUCCAAAAAUUGAUGUGUAUUCAGGCGUGCUAUGUGACGCGUUGAGAGAAUAUGAUGGGAGGAGGAGACACAACACUCCACUCCACUUCCUAUUAUUGCCAUCACGUUGUUGCCACACUUGGGCUGGUUCUAUUCCACAUGCUUCUUGCUAUUUGGAAUGCAUCAUUCUUAUUAUUUAGGUUAGCCAUCGUUUGAAUUGAUAACAGGACAAUGUUAUCAACUCUUUCUUGGUGAGGAACAUAUUUUUGUAGGCCAGGAGGAAGCUUGAGAACUUGCCGCCCGAUCUCACUAGGGCGAUGAGAUGGAGGCCUGCUCACUGCUGCUCCGCUGUUCGCUACACUUUCAAGGCCUCAGGGAGCACCGCCUUACUGACGACCUCUUCCUCAACAAGCUCGUCGUGGAGUCCGUCGUCAGGUCAACUCCAAUGUACUUUAUUUUGAGAAUUCAUCAUUCACCGCCCUGUAGACAGAUCGUUGCUGACCGUCAUUGCCACCUAUAUAUACUCAAUGUAGUGUGAAUCUUAAGGCCGUUAGAGUCGUACAUACGUCAAUGUAGUGUGCUUCUUACGUCGGUUUUGGACAGUAUCUACAAAGUGUAUGAUAUGAUCAAAA